rnacentral:rRNA from 1 species
UACGUAGGGUGCGAGCGUUGUCCGGAAUUAUUGGGCGUAAAGAGCUCGUAGGCGCUUGUCGCGUCGGAUGUGAAAGCCCGGGGCUUAAACUCCGGGUCUGCAUUCGAUACGGGGCAGGCUAGAGUUCGGGUAGGGGAGGAUCGGAAUUCCUGGUGUAGCGGUGAAAUGCGCAGAUAUCAGGAGGAACGACCGGUGGCGAAGGCGGAUCUCUGGGCCGAUACUGACGCUGAGGAGCGAAAGCGUGGGGAGCGAACAGG